rnacentral:rRNA from 1 species
CCUACGGGUGGCAGCAGUGAGGAAUAUUGGUCAAUGGGCGCGAGCCUGAACCAGCCAAGUCGCGUGAGGGAAGACGGUCCUAUGGAGUGUAAACCUCUUUUGUCGGGGAGCAAAAGACGCCACGCGUGGCGUUCCGAGAGUACCCGAAGAAAAAGCAGCGGCUAACUCCGGGCCAGCAGCCGCGGUAAUACGGAGGAGGCGAGCGUUAUCCGGAUUUAUUGGGUUGAAAGGGGGCGCAGGCGGAAGAUCAAGUCAGCGGGAAAAUUGAGAGGCUCAACCUCUUCGAGCCGUUGAAACUGGUUUUCUUGAGUGAGUGAGCAGUCUGCGGAAUGCGUGGUGUAGCGGU